CAAUAGCGUAUAUUAAAGUUGUUGCAGUUAAAAAGCUCGUAGUUGGAUUUCUGGUUGAAGCGACCGGUCGGGCGUUGAUUCGUCUGCACUGGAGUCGGUUUGGCCAUCCUCUAGGAAAGUGCGUCUGGUAUUAAGUUAUCGGGCGUAUGAUCCUGGUCUUUUACUGUGAAAAAAUUAGAGUGUUUAAAGCAGGCCUUCGCCUUGAAUACAUUAGCAUGGAAUAAUAAGAUAGGACUUUGGUCUAUUUUGUUGGUUUGCAGACCGAAGUAAUGAUUAAUAGGGAUAGUUGGGGGUAUUUAUAUUCCGAUGUCAGAGGUGAAAUUCUUAGAUUUUCGGAAGAUAAACUUAUGCGAAAGCAUUUACCAAGGAUGUUUNCAUUAA
rnacentral:rRNA from 1 species